rnacentral:lncRNA from 1 species
UAAGUGAUACACACACAUCGGCUUCUUAAUAUGCACUUUAAGCUAUUGCAAUACACAUUAGCAGCUAAGCAUCGAUCCAAUACAUACCUUUAGGUUUGUCGAUACAUACUUUUCAGAUCAUGGUGUUCAGCAUUCCACACUGCAUGGCCAAAUGAUACACACCUAGCAGAAUGACCGUCCAAGUUUAAAUAUAUACCUUUAAAUAUACCGAUACAUAGUUCCGACAAUUUAGUGUUUACGAGUACACACCACAUGACUAAGUGAUACACACUCAUCGGCUUCUUGAUACACACUUUAAGCUAUUGCAAUACACAUUAACUUUUGGUGAGGAGAGCUCGGCAUCCCGAAUGGAACUUGUACUAGAACUUGAAAUCUCAUCUCUUGAGUACUCUUCCAACUUUUUUCUAGCAUAAUUUAUAAAAAGAAGAGAAGAAGAAGAAAAACAAAAUGAUAAAAAAAAUUAAUUUUUUAACAUAAAAAAUUAUAUACAUACUAUUCCUCAGAUUUCAUGAACUCUUAGAUACAAAGAUCUUAAAAAAUAGAGAAAUUUCGAGGAGAAAAAAACUCGAGGAGAAAAGGAUGGGAGAGAUGGGUUGGAGAGAUGGCUACAAUUUGUAACCAACCCAUCUCUCCAAUCGCAAUAGCUAAUGUGUAUUGCAAUAGCUUAAAGUGUGUAUCAAGAAGCCGAUGAGUGUGUAUUACUUAGUCGUGUGGUGUGUACUGGUGAACACCAAGUUGUCGGAACGAUAUAUUGAUAUACAUAAAGGUAUGUAUUGAAACUUGGAUAGCCAUUCUGCUAGGUGUGUAUCAUUUGGGCAUGCAGUGUGUAUUGCUGAACACCAUGAUCUGAAAAAUAUGUAUCGAUAUACCUAAAGGUAUGUAUUGAAUCAAUGUUUAGCUGCUAAUGUGUAUUUUCAAUAGUUUAAAGUAUGUAUCAAGAAGCCGAUGAGUGUGUAUCACUUAGCCAUGUGGUGUGUACUGGUGAACACUAAAUUGUCCAAACUAUGUAUCGAUAUACUUAAGGUAUGUAUUGAAACUUGGAUGGCCAUUCUGCUAGGUGUGUAUCAUUUGGCGAUGCAGUGUAUACUGCUGAACACCAUGAUCUGGAAAGUAUGUAUCGAUAUACCUAAAGGUAUGUAUUGGAUCGAUGCUUAGCAUGUAUUAAUAAGCUUAAAAUGUGUAGCAAGAAGCCGAUGAGUGUGUAUCACUUAGCCAUGUGGUGUGUACUGGUA